ensembl:lncRNA
CAAUGGCUUCUUUAUAUUUAUCCUGAAUGCAAGGUGGCAGUUACACCCCGCCCAUAAUAUCGGGGUUUAGCCUGACCCAUAACAUUUGUCAUAUACAGCACCUUUCAUCCAGAAGACAACAUGCUGUUUACUAAUUCUAUACAGAAAUCACUUCUACUUUUGAAAGGCAGCCAUCUCUGGGGGGAAAUGCCGCAGGUGCUUAACAACGUUAUGCAACUACAUGAGACAGGAAGCUGAGGAGAAUGCCAUCAUGCAAGGAAAAUUAAGGAAGCAGAAUGUAAUCUAAGUUAUAAUUUGGCUGGGACAGUGGGGCUAACACCACGAUUCUAACAAAAAUUGCCUUAGGAGCUUUAGUGUUGGGACCUCAAUUAUUCAUUUCUUCUGAAAAAACAUGCUGCUUGCAGCAGAGGGUGCUCCUUAGCUGCACAUUAGGGCAUCAGUUCAGUACUGACUCAGACCAAAAAUGGCCAGCUACUGACUAACUAGCACUAUGAGACUCUUGUCAGGGCUCCCAUUUAAACAGUAACCCUGCUCAGCUUGUGAAAGCUACUAGGAUACACUGCACAAGGCUACAAGUCUUGCAGUACCCUAAUGUCACAGAUGUAAAGAGGGAAUUUCUUGGAACUGAUUAGGGAAUAAAGCAGAACAGGUUUCAGAAUCUGUAGUGGUAUAUUUUGAAGUAGUAUGUCUUGGAAAGGUUUGCUGAGGGGAGAACACAGUUUGGUUCAGUUGGAGCCCAUGCUGUGCUCACUGAUCUUUCUCCCGGUUGUUUUAUUGCAUCUUCUUUGAGCGUCUUAUAGUAACUGACAAGGUUGAUUUAUUUUACUAGAACGUGACAGCACCCAAUGGGUUAAACUGUGACAGAGGAAACCAGACUUCUCCUUCUGGGGUGUGACUGCGACUACAUCUGAAAGAUCAAAAUUAAAAAAGAAGAUUCACACUCUGAGAUGAUUAUGGAAGGAAAUUAUGCAACAAAGAGAGGGCUUAUUGGAACUGUUGUGUUACCUCCCAGCUCACUGCCUCCUUGGAUUUUGCUCCGCUGAAAAAAGGUUGGAAAGAGCGGCAUCCGGAUACGGAAUUGAGUGAGAUUCCUGCAGCGCACCCGAAAUGCCAUGGAAAGGUAGGUA